AGAAACUUCGAGAAGUCUGAUAAAGAAGAGAAUCUGAGCUGAGACUAGGCCAAAGAAAAGGACUCACUGUGCAUGAAGAUUUUUUCUGUUGGACCAAACAGCACUUCGAACAGGUUUCAAAGAUGUCCCAUAAAAGACCUUUGCCAGGACAAAAGCAAAACCUUUUAUUUUAUUUAAAGAACCAGCCAAGUGAGAAAAGACAGAAAAACACACUGACAGAACAGCCA